GGGCAUUUGGUCUAGGGGUGUGACGACUGCUUCGCAUUGUUUCGGCUAUAUGCCUGCAGUAGGUCCGGAGUUCAAUUCUCUGAAUGUCCA